rnacentral:rRNA from 1 species
CAAUAGCGUAUAUUAAAGUUGCUGCAGUUAAAAAGCUCGUAGUUGGAUCUCGGGUGCAGGCUUGCGGUCCGCCUCGCGGCGGUCACUGCUCGCCCUGACCUCCAGGCCGGUGUCACCGUCCCUUGGUGCUCUUGAUUGAGUGUCUCGGGCGGCCGGUACGUUUACUUUGAAAAAAUUAGAGUGUUCAAAGCAGGCAAUCGCUUGAAUACAUUAGCAUGGAAUAAUAGAAUAGGACUUUGGUUCUAUUUUGUUGGUUUCUAGGACCGAAGUAAUGAUUAAUAGGGACAGUGGGGGCAUUAGUAUUUAAUUGUCAGAGGUGAAAUUCUUGGAUUUAUGAAAGACUAACUACUGCGAAAGCAUUUGCCAAGGAUGUUUUCAUUAAUCAAGAACGAAAGUUAGGGGA